UACGUAGGGUGCGAGCGUUAAUCGGAAUUACUGGGCGUAAAGCGUGCGCAGGCGGUUUUGUAAGCCAGAUGUGAAAUCCCCGGGCUUAACCUGGGAAUGGCAUUUGGGACUGCAAGGCUGGAGUGCGGCAGAGGAGACUGGAAUUCCUGGUGUAGCAGUGAAAUGCGUAGAUAUCAGGAGGAAUACCGAUGGCGAAGGCAGGUCUCUGGGCUGACACUGACGCUCAUGCACGAAAGCGUGGGGAGCAAACAGGAUAGAAACCCGUGUAGAUCCGAGAUCC
rnacentral:rRNA from 1 species